rnacentral:rRNA from 1 species
AGUGGAUGGGGAGCAACCUAGUUGUGCGUGUGUAAAGGUAGUGCCAAGAAAAGCGAUGAUCAUGUUGAAAAUCAAUUCCCGGUACCCGAAACCGACACAGGUGGGCAAGUAGAGAAUACUAAGGGGCGCGAGGUAACUCUCUCCAAGGAACUCGGCAAAAUGACCCCGUAACUUAGGGAGAAGGGGUGCCACCGAGAGGUGGUCGCAGUGAAGAGGCCCAGGCGACUGUUUAGCAAAAACAUAGGUCUCUGCAAACUCGAAAGAGGAGGUAUAGGGGCUGACGCCUGCCCAGUGCCGGAAGGUUAAAGAAGUUGGUCAGUUUUAGGAUGAAGCUAGCGACUGAAGCCCCGGUGAACGGCGGCCGUAACUAUAACGGUCCUAAGGUAGCGAAAUUCCUUGUCGGGUAAGUUCCGACCCGCACGAAAGGCGUAACGAUCUGGGCGCUGUCUCGGAGAGAGGCUCGGCUAAAUAGGAUUGUCUGUGAAGAUACGGACUACCUGCAUUUGGACAGAAAGACCCUAUGAAGCUUUACUAUAGCUUGGAAUUGUGUUCGGGCUUCCUGUGCGCAGGAUAGGUGGGAGGCGUAGAAGGUAUUCUUGUGGGGAUACUGGAGCCAACGGUGAGAUACCACUCUCAGGAGGCUAGAAUUCUAACUUAAUUAAGGACAGUUUCAGGUGGGUAGUUUGACUGGGGCGGUCGCCUCCAAAAAGGUAACGGAGGCGUACAAAGGUUCCCUCAGACUGGUUGGAAAUCAGUCGAAGAGUGCAAAGGCAGAAGGGAGCUUGACUGCGAGAAGUACAGUUCGAGCAGGGUGGAAACACGGUCUUAGUGAUCCGACGGUGCUGUGUGGAAGGGCCGUCGCUCAACGGAUAAAAGUUACUCUAGGAUAACAGGCUGAUCUCCCCCAAGAGUUCACAUCGACGGGGAGGUUUGGCACCUCGAUGUCGGCUCAUCGCAACCUGGGGCGGAAGUACGUCCCAAGGGUUGGGCUGUUCGCCCAUUAAAGCGGUACGUGAGCUGGGUUCAGAACGUCGUGAGACAGUUCGGUCCAUAUCCGAUGUAGGCGUGAGAAUAUUGAGAGGAGCCUUCCUUAGUACGAGAGGACCGGGAAGGACGCACCGCUGGUGUACCUGUUAUGAUGCCAAUUGUAAACGCAGGGUAGCCAAGUGCGGAGAGGAUAACCGCUGAAAGCAUCUAAGUGGGAAGCCCACCUCAAGAUGAGUAUUCUGGUGUAAGGUCACGGGAAGACGACCCGUAAAUAGGCACGAGGUGGAAGUGCAGAGAUGUAUGAAGCCGAAGUGUACUAAUAGACCGUCGGCUUGACC